GCGCCGUCUCCAGCGCCCCGCGGCGACCUCCAGCGGCCUCAGCGUCGCCUCCCUGCCUCCAGCGCCGGCCUCCCUCGUCGCCACCCUCCAGCGCCGUCUCCAGAAUUCUAUUUCUCCUCUUGAGAUCCAAGCUUUUAUUCUACUGUGCUUUGCGUUGCUCGCGUGAGAUGAUUGCCUCUGAUGAUGGAUCCAGGAGCUUGCUGCUUGCUGUUAAUAGAAGGCUCACUGCACUAUCAUUCCAUAUCAGAGAGUACUUUUGGGUUGACAUGAAGAAGAUCAAUGAGAUUUAUCGCUACAAGACUGAAGAAUACUCCCAAGGUGCUACUAACAAAUUCAACAUCUAUCCGGAGCAAAUUCCUAGUUGGCUAGUUGAUUGGAUUCCUGAAAAAGGUGGCUACUUGAUCGGGAACCUUCAGCCAGCUCACAUGGAUUUCUGGUUCUUCUCACUGGGUAAUCUAUGGGCUAUCACUUCAUCUUUAACCACUCCGAGACAAGCCGAGGAGAUUCUGAACCUGAUGGAGAAAAAAUGGGAGGAUUUCAUCUGGAAUAUACCUCUGAAGAUAUGUUACCCUGCGUUAGAAUAUGAAGAAUGACACAUAAUUACUGGAAGUGAUCCGAAAAAUGCGCCUUUCAUAUCAUAAUGGUGGACCAUGGCCUACCCUACUAUGGCAGUUCACAUUGGCUUGCAUCAAGAUGGGCCGGCCUGAAUUAGCUCAUAAAGCUGUCUCGGUAGCUGAGAAAAGGCUUUCGAACGAUCAAUGGCCUGAAUACUAUGACACCUGACCGCAAGAUUCAUCAGUAAUCAAUCAUGAUUGUAUCAAACAUUGACAAUUGCUGGGUUUCUGGCAUCAAAGUUGCUACCGGAGAAUCCAAAAAUGGCAUCCAUAUUCACAUUUGAGGAAGAUAUGGAACUACUGGAAGGCUGUGCCUACAGUCUGACAAAUCAUCCUCGUGCCAAAUGCUCACGACGCGUUCCAAAAGCGCAGGUCCUUGUAUAACUUGUUGAAGAUACGCAACCAUUCUUUGAUGCUUGUACUGUAUAUAAGAAAAAGGAAAACCAUAGAUGGAAGAGGGAUCCACCUCCACACAACAUUGUUUCCUCAUUGAGAUAUGCUCUUUUUUUUGUUGAGCUACCAUGAUGGUGACUGUGUAUCAGUGAUGUGUAAAAGAUUUGGCCUUUGUAACAAAAAAUAUGUAUGUUUUGAUGA